GGGUUGUGAGGUUAAGCGACUAAGCGUACACGGUGGAUGCCCUGGCAGUCAGAGGCGAUGAAGGGCGUGCUAAUCUGCGAUAAGCGCCGGUAAGGUGAUAUGAACCGUUAUAACCGGCGAUACCCGAAUGGGGAAACCCAGUGUGACUCGUCACACUAUCAUUAACUGAAUCCAUAGGUUAAUGAGGCGAACCGGGGGAACUGAAACAUCUAAGUACCCCGAGGAAAAGAAAUCAACCGAGAUUCCCCCAGUAGCGGCGAGCGAACGGGGAGGAGCCCAGAGCCUGAAUCAGCAUGUGUGUUAGUGGAAGCGUCUGGAAAGGCGCGCGAUACAGGGUGACAGCCCCGUACACAAAAGCGCAUGUGCUGUGAGCUCGAUGAGUAGGGCGGGACACGUGGUAUCCUGUCUGAAUAUGGGGGGACCAUCCUCCAAGGCUAAAUACUCCUGACUGACCGAUAGUGAACCAGUACCGUGAGGGAAAGGCGAAAAGAACCCCGGCGAGGGGAGUGAAAAAGAACCUGAAACCGUGUACGUACAAGCAGUGGGAGCCCCACCACUAAGCCAGUGGUGAACUCCACAUACGCAUCCUUUGCUGAGGAUACGGUUAACGGAGCGAAAGCGACGUUAAACCGCAAAAGAAGCAGAGGGGGCUUAGUGGUGG
rnacentral:rRNA from 1 species